rnacentral:lncRNA from 1 species
ACACAGACAUCAAUCACAGGAAAUUCGUGGAUAAGAAACAGUCUAAAAUCUAAUCAUAACUCAAACAAAGCACACUCACUAGAAAAACCCACAACAUCAUGAAAAACACUUAACUAUUCAAUGAAAUCAAUCCUAGAACUAAUCUUAGGAGCCAAUAAUGUUCAAUCCUCAUUGAAAACAACACCAGUGCACGUUGUGGGCUUCGGUAAUUAUUCAAUGAAAUUAGUGGAUGAUAGUUUCUUUUUUCUUCAUAUUCAUGCUUAGAACUUGGAAAAGGAGGCUGUUUUUUAAUCUCUCCUGUCUCAACUGUUGUUCAAGAUCAGUUUUGUUUUAAUGCAGAAACUAGAAAGAGCGACUGAGGGAGAGACGUUACCGUCGAGAGAGUGACGGACGGUGGCGGCAGCCGAAAGAUGAGGAGUAGAGGCGGAAGCCGGUGGACAGAGGAGAAAUGUAAAGCUGGCACCAGCAGGGGGAACGGCCGACGGGCGACGGAGGUGAAGCACGG